AGUGAACGCUGGCGGUAGGCCUAACACAUGCAAGUCGAACGGCAGCACAGUAAGAGCUUGCUCUUACGGGUGGCGAGUGGCGGACGGGUGAGGAAUACAUCGGAAUCUACUUUUUCGUGGGGGAUAACGUAGGGAAACUUACGCUAAUACCGCAUACGACCUACGGGUGAAAGCAGGGGAUCUUCGGACCUUGCGCGAUUGAAUGAGCCGAUGUCGGAUUAGCUAGUUGGCGGGGUAAAGGCCCACCAAGGCGACGAUCCGUAGCUGGUCUGAGAGGAUGAUCAGCCACACUGGAACUGAGACACGGUCCAGACUCCUGAGGGAGGCAGCAGUGGGGAAUAUUGGACAAUGGGCGCAAGCCUGAUCCAGCCAUACCGCGUGGGUGAAGAAGGCCUUCGGGUUGUAAAGACCUUUUGUUGGGAAAGAAAAGCAGCAGGUUAAUACCACGCUGUUCUGACGGUACCCAAAGAAUAAGCACCGGCUAACUUCGUG
rnacentral:rRNA from 1 species